CGGGUGAGUAACGCGUGGAGAACCUGCCGUAUACUGGGGGAUAACACUUAGAAAUAGGUGCUAAUACCGCAUAAGCGCACAGCUUCGCAUGAAGCAGUGUGAAAAACUCCGGUGGUAUACGAUGGAUCCGCGUCUGAUUAGCUGGUUGGCGGGGUAACAGCCCACCAAGGCGACGAUCAGUAGCCGGCCUGAGAGGGUGAACGGCCACAUUGGGACUGAGACACGGCCCAAACUCCUACGGGAGGCAGCAG
rnacentral:rRNA from 1 species